rnacentral:lncRNA from 1 species
CUGUGAGCCACACAGCUUCCUGGAACUCUGGAACAUUGCAAUGUGAGAACUCCCGUUCUGGGCACCUCUGUGGGCCGCCCAGAACCCCCUCGGGAAGGGGAGAAGGAUACUUGCAGGAGAAGCUCCAGGAGGCCAGGAGGGGCCAACUCUUCUGCUUCCUGCUCUGCUGGGUGUUUGAAAAUAGGAACCCCCUGGAGUCUGGCCAGGGUGAAGCUUCUUCCAGUCAGUUCCCUGAUGAUCGCCUCCAAUUUAAUUUCCAUUAUCACCGAAGCCAUGGGCCCAUGAUAGCCGGUGACACUUCUGUGCUGGCCUCAGUUCUUUGCAGAAAGGAAGAGGAUUUAUGAGUUCGGAAGAUAGCUUCAGAGGGAACACCUCACAGCUCAGUUGAACCCAGCGAUACUUGGAGAUGUGCAGGCAGUGGAGCCAGGACAUCCCCCGGUCCACAGAAAGACUGGAAAGCAUGAAUGUCUGGACAGAGGAGGCAGAAGAGGCACGGAUACCAGGAGGGUAACACAGACUCCUUCUCCAAGCCCUCCAAGAGUCAG